GUAUAAGUUGUGAAAUGCUAUGUGGUUUGUCUCUGGCAGCUUCAGCAGGCUCUUUUCUGCUGCAGGUGUAGAGAUUGUGAUCUUUUGCAUGAACAACGAGCUAAAAUAACUGCUGAAAAUGUAUGAUAACAUGUUGAGGUUAGGAAACAGUGUGGGCGGUUUGGAACUUGCCAUGACUGAGAAGCAG